AGAUUGAACGCUGGCGGAAUGCUUUACACAUGCAAGUCGAACGGCAGCACGGGGGCAACCCUGGUGGCGAGUGGCGAACGGGUGAGUAAUGUAUCGGAACGUGCCCAGUCGUGGGGGAUAACUAUCCGAAAGGAUAGCUAAUACCGCAUACGUCCUGA
rnacentral:rRNA from 1 species